rnacentral:rRNA from 1 species
GGUCAAGUGAAGAAGCGCAUACGGUGGAUGCCUUGGCAGUCAGAGGCGAUGAAAGACGUGGUAGCCUGCGAAAAGCUUCGGGGAGUCGGCAAACAGACUGUGAUCCGGAGAUGUCUGAAUGGGGGAACCCAGCCAUCACAAGAUGGUUAUCUUGUACUGAAUACAUAGGUGCAAGAGGCGAACCAGGGGAACUGAAACAUCUAAGUACCCUGAGGAAUAGAAAUCAACCGAGAUUCCCUUAGUAGUGGCGAGCGAACGGGGACCAGCCCUUAAGUUGGUUUGAGAUUAGUGGAACGCUCUGGAAAGUGCGGCCGUAGUGGGUGAUAGCCCUGUACACGAAAAUCUCUUAUCAAUGAAAUCGAGUAGGACGGGGCACGAGAAACCUUGUCUGAACAUGGGGGGACCAUCCUCCAAGGCUAAAUACUACUGACUGACCGAUAGUGAACCAGUACCGUGAGGGAAAGGCGAAAAGAACCCCGGAGAGGGGAGUGAAAUAGAUCCUGAAACCGUAUGCGUACAAGCAGUGGGAGCC